GCGAAAGUAGCUCAGUGGUAGAGCUUCACCUUGCCAAGGUGGAUGUCGCGGGUUCGACUCCCGUCUUUCGCU
rnacentral:tRNA from 3 species